UACGUAGGCAGCGAGCGUUGUUCGGAAUUAUUGGGCGUAAAGGGCUCGUAGGCGGUUUGUCGCGUCGGGAGUGAAAACUCAGGGCUUAACCCUGAGCCUGCUUCCGAUACGGGCAGACUAGAGGUAUGCAGGGGAGAACGGAAUUCCUGGUGUAGCGGUGAAAUGCGCAGAUAUCAGGAGGAACACCGGUGGCGAAGGCGGGUCUCUGGGCCGUUACUGACGCUGAGGAGCGAAAGCGUGGGGAGCGAACAGG
rnacentral:rRNA from 1 species